GAUGUGUUUUCAGAAGAGUGAUGUGUGAGGUUACAACGGUGUCAGAACGAACGUCUUACGCAGCAAAUAGCCUGAAGCGAAACUCUGGGUUUGAAUGCAUUCUGAGCAAGACAAUGCAGAAACCUGCAAUGCCCAGACACAGACUGAAGCACAAGAAAUGAGAAGGAAACUGAAGGAGCAAAAUGGGAAAAUGAAAGCACACUGCACUAGACUGCACUUUCUUUUCAGGCACACAGCUUGAUAGGUCUCUUUAACUGAGCUGCUGUUAUUAUUUGUUAUGAUGAACAUCAGAGGACCUUUGCUUCUGUUAAUUCCCCUGGGUUUGGUGUUUGCUGACUGCUGUGUUUCACUGUGUGAACUGGGGAAGGAAUGCCCCAUCCAUGCUGGUUUCCAGGUGGCAU
rnacentral:lncRNA from 1 species